UACGUAGGGUGCGAGCGUUGUCCGGAAUUAUUGGGCGUAAAGGGCUCGUAGGCGGCGUGUCGCGUCGGGAGUGAAAGCCCGUUGCUUAACGGCGGGUUGGCUUUCGGUACGGGCAUGCUGGAGUGCGGCAGGGGAGACUGGAAUUCCUGGUGUAGCGGUGGAAUGCGCAGAUAUCAGGAGGAACACCGGUGGCGAAGGCGGGUCUCGUGGGCCGUUACUGACGCUGAGGAGCGAAAGCGUGGGGAGCGAACAGG
rnacentral:rRNA from 1 species